UACGUAGGGUGCGAGCGUUAAUCGGAAUUACUGGGCGUAAAGCGUGCGCAGGCGGUUGGUUAAGUCUGAUGUGAAAGCCCCGGGCUCAACCUGGGAAUGGCAUUGGAAACUGGCUGGCUAGAGUGUGGCAGAGGGGGGGGUGGAAUUCCGCGUGUAGCAGUGAAAUGCGUAGAGAUGCGGAGGAACACCGAUGGCGAAGGCAGCCCCCUGGCUAGCACUGACGCUCAGGCACGAAAGCGUGGGGAGCAAACAGG
rnacentral:rRNA from 1 species